ACGAACGCUGGCGGCGUGCUUAACACAUGCAAGUCGAACGGUGAAGCGCCUUCCUUUUUGGUGGGUGUGGAUGAGUGGCGAACGGGUGAGUAACACGUGAGUAACCUGCCCCCUUCUUCUGGAUAACCGCAUGAAAGUGUGGCUAAUACGGGAUAUUCUGGGUCUGUCGCAUGAUGGGUCUGGGAAAGAUAUUGUUUCGGUGGGGGAUGGGCUCGCGGCCUAUCAGCUUGUUGGUGGGGUGAUGGCCUGCCAAGGCGGUGACGGGUAGCCGGCCUGAGAGGGUGGACGGUCACACUGGGACUGAGACACGGCCCAGACUCCUACGGGAGGCAGCAGUGGGGAAUAUUGCACAAUGGGCGCAAGCCUGAUGCAGCGACGCCGCGUGAGGGAUGGAGGCCUUCGGGUUGUGAACCUCUUUCGCCAGUGAAGCAGGCCUGCCUCGUUUGUGGGUGGGUUGACGGUAGCUGGAUAAGAAGCGCCGGCUAACUACGUG
rnacentral:rRNA from 1 species